CUGAAUCUAUGCCUCAGAAAGAUUUCUUUGAGGAUUUAAUUUAAAAUCUGAUAUUCAAAGUGGACGGUCGUUGCCGAAAUAAGUUAUAAAAGUUUGUGAAUAAAACACAAUAUUUAUUAUAAACAGUGUUAAGCAUUUCAACCAUGUAGACAAUUUUGAAGAGUAUAAGUAGGUACAUUUAACAGUGUAAAAUAUUGGUGGUUGCCUCUAUCCCAUAUACUCAGAUAAGUAUAAAAACAUAGAAUGUUAAAAAUUGCUUUCUUUUAUAUAUUAAACAUAUUUUAAUUUUUUUUUCUUAUAGGUGCAUAUUUUAAAAUUAAAAAUCGUGAUUUGAUAUUUUUGUGAAAUAAGGAGACACAUAUGUACGUAAUCUUCAACUUUGUACCGGCAAAGGGGAAAAAAUCAACACAAAAUAAAAACCAUAUUAAAGGCGACUCUCAACUAAUCCUGUACACUUGAAAUUGUCAUUGCAAACUAAAGCAAAACAUAGUAUUUAGUAGCUCCAAAGUCUAAUGCUGCCGAUUACAAUAGGAUGAUGCAUCCAUUAAAAAAGUAAAAUUAAAUUAAAAAUUAACUUUAAAGUGAAAUUUAUAGUGAU